UCUAGGUCCCCUUGGCUUUCCUUCCAGGUGACAGAGUUAAAACAAAGGAACUUCUAUGAGCAAAGCCACAGAGGAGAUGAUGGCUGGGACCUGCUCAGGGGCUGGGGCAGUGCCACUCAGUCGGAGCAUCCAAUGUGUGUGGUUUGGUGCCAGAUCUUAGCUUGGGAUGCAGAGAUGAGGAGUUUGGAGCCUUUAAACCGGUUUCUAAAAAGAGCGAUGUCCUUCGAUGAGGAUUCCCUCAAUGGUGGUGACAGGAAGGAAAUUGGAUGUGGAAUGUGGAAAGGUGGAAACCUCUACCUUGAACAGGUUGAUGUUGUCGAUCUGGCUCUGGAAGAGAAAGUCGUUGAUAGUCUUCAGCUCCAUCCCUGAGAACAAACACAUGAAGGGCCUUGGGAGCUUCACCCUAAGCCUCAGGUUUCAGUCCCAGGGUUAAGCUCGGAAGUGGCUCAGAUCAGCUCUGGGCCCUCUGAGGGCAACUCUCUUACCUGUCUGUGACAGACUCUGUGUAUUGGGAUUUUGCUUAAUGUUCCCUAAAAAAGAGAAUGGAAAUAGGUCACAAUGGUGGUUCUCAGGCCCCCCAACCCUUCCCUAUCUUCUCUCCCUCCACACUGCACAUCAAGUAAGAAGAGCAUCUGUAUUUGAACGGCUUUGUUUUGCUUUUCACUGUUUAUAGUAUGCAACGGACCCACUUAGAGGGCAGGUGGGUCCAGGAGCCUCCCACGUCUGACUCACGUGCUUGCACGUGGAACCCAAAGCCCUGUAAAGUUUAUGUUUUUCACCCCUUCUCCAGGAGGCCGGGACACAGCAGCCAGACCAAGGUAUGCAGGGCACCGGAGCACAGAGGAGCUGCCCAGGCCACUGGUGAGCCUGAGGCAAAGCAGAGCUGGCGGCUCAGAGCAGCAACACGAGACCAGCUCCCGCCAGGAGCUCCCACAGGCUUUCUGCAGCUUCCACUUCCACAGACACUUUCCAACAAGGGGGUGCCCCAUCAUAAAAGAAGGGGAUGUGACAGGGUCAUGCAAAGAGGCGUGGGAGCUGGAGUCAGAAGAUCCCAGGCUCCCGUGCUGGGAGCAGCCCUUGCUCCGAGCUCUAGUUUAUGCGUCUAUCAACAAGGAUUCAAAUACCAGCACUGCGUUCUCACAGGGCACACAAAACCGCAUAUGCAAGUGCUUCGAACAACCCACAGAACUAUGCCUAUCACGGAAACACCGUGUGUCCAUGUGAUGCUGUAUCCUUAAUAUCCCCCCAGAGCAGCGCCUGAAAUAAAAAGUCCUCAGAACAUGGGCAAAGAACCCAUGGGUCUAAAAAAAGCUCAAGUCAGACAACUCAACUAAGCUACAAAGAACAAGAAUUUUCUAAAUCAAUGACCAAGACCCUUCUUUUUUUUUUUUUUUUUUUUGAGACUGACUCUUACUCUGUCGCCCAGACUGGACUGCAGUGGCACAAUCUCGGCUCACUGCAACCUCUGCCUCCCGGGUUUGAGCAAGCAAUUCUCUUGUCUCAGCUUCUGGAGCAGCUGGGACUACAGGCCACGGCAACACUCCCAGCUAAUUUUUUUGUAUUUUUAGUAGAGAUGGGAUUUCAUCAUGUUGACCAGGCUGGUCUCAAAACUCCUGACCUCAGGUGAACCACCUGCCUCGGCCUCCCAAGGGCUGGGAUUACAGGCGUGAGCCACCACACCUGGCCGACCCUUCUUAAAAACACAGAGAACUGAGGCGUCCUGAUGGGCAUCCAAGGAAAAAGCAGCCCGGCGGGUUUUGCAGGCCGGGGGUCAGCCGGGGGGACGAGGCUCUCACCCCCUAGCACAGCCACGAAUUUCUCCAGCAAAUACAGGAUCUGCUUCAGGUACAUCAGGUUCUUGGCCUUCAAACGCUUCCUGAGAAGAAGCCAACGGACAUUAAGUGGUGGUGCCCUGAUGGCGACUCGCCCCGCCCACCCCAGUGGAAGCCUUGCUGCCCGGUGCCUCUCAAACUGGGUCACAAGCUACAAAUCCUUUCCCAGAGAGCAGGCUGGCCACGGCCCCAGGCCUCAGAGCCAGCGGUCAGUCCCCAGCCUUCCAGGUCUGUGUGCAGCACACACCAUGAUGUGCCUAGGACAUGAAUGGCAUGCAGCUCCACCCCGCCACAGCCCGGGCCAGAGGUGGGAACCAAAGUGCUGCCUCUCAGAGGCCCAUGCAGGGGGCCACCAAGGGACUGUCCCACUACCUCAGAGAGUCACAUCUCACCCGUAUCGCUCCAUGUACUGCAGCAGCUGGGAAUGGGCCUGGCAGAGCUGGGGAAAGAACACAAACCAGGCUCUGAGCAAGCAGCCGAGGGCUAAGGUACUGACAUCUUAGAUUCACCUAGAAGACGCUAGCCCUGGACACACAGGAAGCCACCAAAGGGAGGAGAGGGGGCUGGGUGCAGACAAAAGGUACUGGUUUCCACAGCCCUUAGGCUGGUGGGAGCUAAGAGAAAAGGGAAGGAAGGGAAGGUUUCCUCCAGUGUCCACUGUGGGUCAGAGAAAAAGCAAGAGGCUGAAUUCCUCAAGUAUGGAAUCUCCCUGCUAGUUUCCACCGGGUUGGGAAAAGACCUAGAGUCUACAAAGAGUGAUGGUUCAAGGUCACCAUCACAUCCCAGCCUCAAUUCAGCCCAGGCACAGGUCAGUAGAGCUGGUGGGAUGUCGUGGGGGUUUCACAGUCAGAAACCAGUGGGCACACCCCAGCUCCACACUCAUGAGCUGCAUGACCUCAGGACAGAGCUUGACCAUCUCUGAAUCUCCACGUUUCCAAUGUAAAACAGGAACACCACCCCCAUGGCAGAGUCAGCGUGAAGACCAGAGACACCUGGUGCCAUGCAUGGCGCAUGAUAGGGCAGCAGGAGGAGCCUGCACUGAUCUUGAGCAUUCCUCAAUUCAGUCCCCUCCAGACAACUUCAGUAAUGACAAAAUCCAAUCCUGAGGGGACUUCUGCCUCACACAUGCCAUCUCCCUGGCUUGCAGAACUGGCUGCUGGCAUCCAGGGCUGGAGGGACUCAGGAGCAUGGGGGCAGGUGAGGUGCAGGGAAAUGAGGCACUCUGUCAUAGCGGGGUCCCCAGAGUUCUGGGAUGCACUGGAAAGCCAUGGUCAGCCUCCGAUGAGGUCACCACCUUGACUCGUGCACCCUGUAGCAAGCCCCACCUCCGGAGGAAUUCUUGGCCCAGGUGUCUGGAGGAACCAUCCAAGUCCCUUUACCUCACGGCAGGCCCUGGCCCGGGGAGGGGAGGCCCACGCACCUGGGAGCCGCUGACCUCCACGCUGUGCAUGCUCGUGGUGGUGUCGAUCAGGUUGUGCGCCUCGUCGAUGAUCACCACCUGGUCCUGCAGCCGGAUGCCCGCAGCCUGCCGAGUGGCCGCAUGCAGCAGCAUCUGAUAGGGCAGCACCACCAGCUGGGAGGGGAGAUGAGGCCACCUGAGCAGGGCGGGGCUCCCCUGCAGGAGGCUUGCCUGCCUGACACUGAGCUCCUGAUGUGAGUGCUUCUACUUCCUGCCUGGACUGUGUAGAGACAUUCAAAAAACAGCUUGUAGCAACGGACAAGCUCUCCUCGAGUUUCACAUGAAAAGCCAAUACAUGAAACACAGGAAACUAGGGCUGGUCUGACUCCUGAGUAAACCAAGGGCAGGGCUGGGUGAAGGGAACCCCUGCUUAGCCUUGUCCAUGUCCUCAAGGUCGCCCCGGAGGCCCCCGAGUUUCCACAAAACACCUGAAGACCAUCGGUGCACCAGGAAGCGGCCCCAGCUUCUGCUCCUGGAGCUGCUACUUCCCAGCUGUGUGACUCUGGAAGAGUUGUCUAACCUCUCUGACCCUUGCUUUCCUCAUCUGCAAAAUAGGGUUGACACAUCCUAUUUCAAAGUGAGGGUUAAGGCGUGGAGCUGGGGUAACAAAAAUAAAAGCAACUCUGCAGGUCUUUAGGUGUUUGUUGUUAGGAAAGUUUCCAGUUAAAGGAAUACUCAUAUAAGAAAUAAAAUAUCGGAAAACUGAA